rfam:Cajanus cajan chromosome 6, whole genome shotgun sequence.
AUACCUUUCUCGGCCUUUUGGCUAAGAUCAAGUCUAGUAUAUGUUCUUAUCAGUUUAAUAUCUGUUUAAUAUCUGAUAUGUGGGUUAUUAGUUCACACGAUAUUAAAUUAAUUAUUUGAGGGGUGAGUCUAUUAAUGUAGCUUGCUACGGAGGCUCUCAACUGUCACCUAUUUGUUGCACUACAACAUGGGCUUGGCAUACCCCAC